GACGAACGCUGGCGGCGUGCCUAAUACAUGCAAGUCGAGCGGACGAAUCGAAAGCUUGCUUUUGAUUCGUUAGCGGCGGACGGGUGAGUAACACGUGGGCAACCUGCCCUGUAGACGGGGAUAACACCGAGAAAUCGGUGCUAAUACCGGAUAACACGAAAUGUCGCAUGACGUUUCGUUGAAAGACGGCGCAAGCUGUCGCUACAGGAUGGGCCCGCGGCGCAUUAGCUAGUUGGUGAGGUAACGGCCCACCAAGGCGACGAUGCGUAGCCGACCUGAGAGGGUGAUCGGCCACACUGGGACUGAGACACGGCCCAGACUCCUACGGGAGGCAGCAGUAGGGAAUCUUCCGCAAUGGACGAAAGUCUGACGGAGCAACGCCGCGUGAGCGAAGAAGGCCUUCGGGUCGUAAAGCUCUGUUGUUAGGGAAGAACAAGUAACGCAGUAACUGGCGUUACCGUGACGGUACCUAACGAGAAAGCCACGGCUAACUACGUG
rnacentral:rRNA from 1 species